rnacentral:rRNA from 1 species
GGUUGAUCCUGCCAGUAGUCAUACGCUUGUCUCAAAGAUUAAGCCAUGCAUGUCUAAGUAUAAACAAUUUUGUACUGUGAAACUGCGAAUGGCUCAUUAUAUCAGUUAUAGUCUACUUGAUAGUACCUUACUACUUGGAUAACCGUAGUAAUUCUAGAGCUAAUACAUGCGCAAAUACCCAACUGCUUGUCGGGCGGGUAGCAUUUAUUAGAUUGAAACCAAUGCAGCUUCGGCUGGUAUUGUGUUGAGUCAUAAUAACUGUGCGGAUCGCGUUUCAUUACGCGAUAAGUCAA